rnacentral:rRNA from 1 species
ACCUGGAGGAAGAGAAAGCAAAUGCGAUUUCCUGAGUAGCGGCGAGCGAAACGGAACAUAGCCCAAACCAAGAGGCUUGCCUCUUGGGGUUGUAGGACAUUCUAUACGGAGUUACAAAGGAACGAGGUAGACGAAGCAGUCUGGAAAGGCUCGUCAUAGAAGGUAACAACCCUGUAGUUGAAACUUCGUUCCCUCUUGAAUGAAUCCUGAGUACGGCGGAACACGUGAAAUUCCGUCGGAAUCUGGGAGGACCAUCUCCCAAGGCUAAAUACU